AGCGAACGCUGGCGGCAGGCCUAACACAUGCAAGUCGAACGAACCUUUCGGGGUUAGUGGCGGACGGGUGAGUAACACGUGGGAACGUGCCUUUAGGUUCGGAAUAACUCAGGGAAACUUGUGCUAAUACCGAAUGUGCCCUUCGGGGGAAAGAUUAAUCGCCUUUAGAGCGGCCCGCGUCUGAUUAGCUAGUUGGUUGAGGUAAUGGCUCACCAAGGCGACGAUCAGUAGCUGGUCUGAGAGGAUGAUCAGCCACAUUGGGACUGAGACACGGCCCAAACUCCUACGGGAGGCAGCAGUGGGGAAUCUUGCGCAAUGGGCGAAAGCCUGACGCAGCCAUGCCGCGUGAAUGAUGAAGGUCUUAGGAUUGUAAAAUUCUUUCACCGGGGACGAUAAUGACGGUGCCCGGAGAAGAAGCCCCGGCUAACUUCGUG
rnacentral:rRNA from 1 species